rnacentral:rRNA from 1 species
UUGCUGACGAGUGGCGGACGGGUGAGUAAUGUCUGGGAAACUGCCUGAUGGAGGGGGAUAACUACUGGAAACGGUAGCUAAUACCGCAUAACGUCGCAAGACCAAAGAGGGGGACCUUAGGGCCUCUUGCCAUCGGAUGUGCCCAGAUGGGAUUAGCUAGUAGGUGGGGUAACGGCUCACCUAGGCGACGAUCCCUAGCUGGUCUGAGAGGAUGACCAGCCACACUGGAACUGAGACACGGUCCAGACUCCUACGGGAGGCAGCAGUGGGGAAUAUUGCACAAUGGGCGCAAGCCUGAUGCAGCCAUGCCGCGUGUAUGAAGAAGGCCUUCGGGUUGUAAAGUACUUUCAGCGGGGAGGAAGGGAGUAAAGUUAAUACCUUUGCUCAUUGACGUUACCCGCAGAAGAAGCACCGGCUAACUCCGUGCCAGCAGCCGCGGUAAUACGGAGGGUGCAAGCGUUAAUCGGAAUUACUGGGCGUAAAGCGCACGCAGGCGGUUUGUUAAGUCAGAUGUGAAAUCCCCGGGCUCAACCUGGGAACUGCAUCUGAUACUGGCAAGCUUGAGUCUCGUAGAGGGGGGUAGAAUUCCAGGUGUAGCGGUGAAAUGCGUAGAGAUCUGGAGGAAUACCGGUGGCGAAGGCGGCCCCCUGGACGAAGACUGACGCUCAGGUGCGAAAGCGUGGGGAGCAACAGGAUUAGAUACCCUGGUAGU